UUUGCCUGAAGCAUAUCAGCCCCAAAUGGGAUGGUCUGUGAGUGGUCAAUCAACUGAAUGCUAUCAAACGUCGGAGCUCCUCUUAGUUGCCGCCCGGAAACACUGAGCCCAGAGUCUCUAAGAGAGUUCAUUGUGACGGAAUGGAAAUCUUAGACAAGCUGACAUCAUCCAACCAACGGACAAAGACAUGAGAGAAUUCUAAGACAAGCUGAAGCAACUGUGUGAAGAACCAGACAGAAACUCCUUGUAGUCCUUUGUGAGUAAAUUCCAAAUGAAAAGUAGAUGCUUAUAUUAAAGAAUACAUGAGA
rnacentral:lncRNA from 1 species